UGAUGGGGGCCGGGGCUGUGCAUGCCGAGAAGGGUUAGUUUUCUGUUUGACUCUGUUCCCUUGGAUGUUUCUGAAGGGAGAACAGAGGCGGGAGGGCCGUGGUCAUUUCCUGGGGGUCAGAACAUCUAAAUACAGAAAGGCGAUCCAUCUCACUGCUCCGACUGACUGACGUCUUUGGGUUGAUCUGCUCAUGUCUUUGACACCACACCCCCACGGUGACAGCUGGGACUUGUGGUGAGCUCUUACAGUCAUUAUCCACAGACUGUCGGAGGCUCCAUCAGAAUCUGUCCUCGGUAGGAUGUGAGAUCUCUUCUUUUCUCUGCAGAAAACGGCUCUUGAUUGAUCAUUCUGUUUGUGGGAAGGAAAUCAUUGGCAAGUCUCUGAACAGCGUAGCAGUUCUAGAAAGGAGUGCCGAAGAGCUUCUGCCAGUAACUCCCUACUGAGUCAGUGAGGGUGGGCAGAUAAGCCACGGUAGAACGUUCCAGAAACUCUUUUGGCCCUUUGACAUUCGGCAUGCCCUCCCAUAAAGGCCAACAGAGUCUAUCCGAAGGAAAUGACUCUCAGCUUCAGACAACUCAGAACUGGAGUAUACGGCAAACACAAAUGGCAGGAGUGUGCACCUGUGGUGUGUGCACUGUGCAUCCCCCCCACACCUUUGUCUUUCUCCUGCACUAUGUUUCAGCAGCAUGCCAGGUUUCGAUGGAAGCAGCAUAUCGACUCAUUGAUACUGAUUUCAGUCAGUCUUUAGUUUACCUGUACAUGACAUUUACCUCGAUAUUAAUUUCAUCAACUGGCCGACUCUUGUGCAGGUCUUCCGUGCAUAGCCACAGCUACUGGGAAUUCAUGUGUACCCCAGCCACGGAAACACGGAAAACAGCAUUCUAUGGCAACCCCUCUCCAUCUCCCAGCUCUUACAUACCAGAGCAUACUAGAACAAUAGAAACGAAAACUAAGAAAAAGUAAUAUCACCAAUUGAUGACGGGCGGUGGUGUCCAUGGAUUUUGAGGAAGUUGGUUUAGUUUCAAUAAUCAAGAGGACUCUCAGCGGUGUGGCAAGAAUGAACAGAGGGGCAUGCUAACUAUCUGACUGUGGCACACAGACAAAGGUCCAGUUUUUCAGAUGUCACCACAGUCAUUGCAGCAGCCGGGGAGGGAUACAGGCUACUUCUGUCCACCUCCCAUAAACCAGAGAUAAGGACCAGAACCAAAUACAAGCAGGGAGUUAGAACUACCUAAGUCAGACACACUUCAAGGAUGCGGAGAGGUCACCCUUUGGGGGAUUUGUUCAGUAUUCUCCCGGUUUUCAGAUUCUCCCUUUUAUUUAUCUACUUUUAACUGGUCUACGUCCUGGAGGAGUGGAGUUCAGAGGAGCCCGUGUCCAGGGGCCUUAGCAGGAAGGGUAUUUCGGAAUGUGGUGGAAGCCAUGGCCCUGUUCCCAUGGGUAUGGCUCAUCUGCUCUUCAGAUCGACUGGCUUUGUUCCAUCUGCGGACACGAAUCACCUUGCUGUUUUUUGCACUGUGAACGCAAGCACACACGAACACUUCCAGUUUUAAGAAGAGCACGUGGGGUGGGGUAAAGUGUUUGCCUUGGAAGCCGGAGGACCCACAUUUGACCCCCAGCAUCCGUCUGAAAAAUAGAGCAUGUCCAGAUCGGCUCCUGACGAUAAACCAGAGAAACUACUCCACCCAAAGCAGCGUGGCCAACCUGAAUGAUGGAAGAACAAAUGCUAAUAUUGUGUAAUUAUAAAAGCUGGAAUGGGCAUGGCUCAUAAGGAGUGUUUAAGGUAAUAAUCAAGAUCCCUGAGUUCUCCUAGAAUGUCAUGAGCACGAGACAGGAGACAAAGUAAGACAAAGUAAGUGGUGGAAAAUGUGAGCUGCUGUGAGCUCUGUCACGUUAAAGCAGAGCAUUUGGGUUCUGUGGUUCCUGAUAGUCAAGCUGAAAAGGAAACCACGCUGGUUUAUAAUGGUGUGUAUCUAACAAAAUAAAAUAUGAGGCCAAGGGAGUUUAGGAGUGUGAGCUCAAAGGGACAAGGGAGCCUCAGAACAGUGGUCAAUCAUAAAGAGUGACUGUUCACCCCAAAACAUGGCUGUCUCCCCAUCCCUCACCUGUUAGAGAAAAGAGAAAUGAGAUUAAGUUUAUCACAAAGACAACUUGAGCGAGACCAUGGGAGCAGAAAGCUCUGUGAGCCUGCUUGGUGCCUGGCAGGUGGGGGACAUUUUUGCCGGGUCUCAGCCUCCAAACUCCUGUGAUACUAGGUGAUGGAGGACAGUCCUCUGGCCUCAGGCAUCCCAGUCAUCCCUGACUUGCAGUUUUACUAGUCGACCUCUCACUUCAUCCUGGGGUGCACCAUGCCCCCGGGCUCUGCCCCAAAAGUGGCAUCAAAUGCUUCGUGUUGCUGAAAAUAAUUGGCUUUUUGCUAACUAGGCCUCUCUGAGAGAAGUUUUCAAAUGUCUGAGAAUCACAUUUCUAAUGGCCAUAUUUUCAGAUGCCUAGCCUCCUUAGAAAAUGCCUGGCGGGUGCUACUUGCUGUGGAAUAGCUUUCUGUACACUGUGAAUAUGUGCUACUCUGAUUAGUUGAUAAAUAAAGCCAUUUGGCCUAUGGCAAGUCAGGUUUUAGCUAGGUGGGAAAUUGAAGAGAGAGACAGGAAGACGAAAGGCAGAGGCGGAGGAGACACCAUCCCAUCAUCCAGGGAGCAGCAUGUAAUGGCACACAGGUAAAGCCACAGAACAUGUGGUGACAUAUAGAUUAAUAGAAAUGGGCUGAUUUAGUUAUAAGAGCUAGCUAGCAGAAAGAUUGAGCCAUGCCAUUUGAGCCUUGGCCAUGCAAUUUGUAAUUGAUAUAAAGUCUCUGUGUGUUUACUUGGGUCUGAGCGGCUACAGGACUGGGUGGGACACAGGAAAACUUCCACUACAUUUGGCUGCCCAAUGUGGGGCAAGAGUUUCCACCUAAAACCUGAGAAAGCUUAAAAAAAAGAUUCUAAAAUGGAGCUAAAAACAGCUUGCUAGUUAGGUCUCUCUAGCAAGCCGUGAGGUACAGUAUGGCGGGUUCACAGCAGCAUAUGAGCUUGACCUACAGCAUGGUAGAUUCCCACCGUGGUAUACAGAGGCCUCUCCAAGCCGCACAGUAAGCUGCUUGGUGGAUUUAGCUUUUGAUAGUACAGGGAAAAAAAAGUUUUCUGGGCUACUCGCUGUUGGAUGGAGGCAUGG